rnacentral:piRNA from 1 species
UAGUAGUCUUAUCCAUGCAGGAGGAA